GAGCACUACAACAGCAAAGGGCAAACCCUGGUGGGUUAAGGAUCAAUUAAUUGGGGGUUAGGGUUAUUAUUUGCCCCCUGUCCCGUGCACUGCCGGUGGCGAAGCUGCCUCCUCCUGUAGUGGAGUCAUCUGUGAUGAAGUUUUCAUAGUUUACACAGGGUGUUGUCAGUUGAGAUGCCUUAAGUAUUUAACAAUCAUAAUUUAUUACUAACUGUAGAUAUUGUGGGUAUGUAUUUAAUUUUAUAUAGUUUUUCGGGGGGUUGGGAGGGAAUUGGGUAUUGAAUCAUAAUUUAUUUAUUUAGAAAUAACACAAAAAUGCUAUGAAAAAAAAAAAACUAUUACCUCAUUUUUGCAUUGUUUUAAAUGGGAAUGCUUUGCAUGCAGUUGUACUUUUUGGAACACUAAAGUUAGAUGGAAAAAAAUAAUAAUCGAGCCCCGCUGUCUGAUCUCCACGAGCUGGCUGUGCGAUGUUUACUGUCCAAGGCUGAGCUACUGAGCCCGCUCUCCGCCUCUCUAACUCUCUCUCUCUAUCUCUAUCUCUCUCUCAUAUGUGGUGCUGUGGAUCUUGGUCACAUUCCAUUCAAUGCAAUUUCUCGGAUCCCCCAUGCUGUGAUGUAGUGGAUAAACUGCAAUGAAACUAAAAGGAAGACGAGGAUGUUAAAGCACAACCUUUUCUAAAAAUGCAUGCGUUUUCUCAGGUUUCAAUAUAGGCUCAAUGGUUGAAUAGUAUAUGGAGAAAAUAUAUACAAAGAAUAUAUCAGAAAAAAACAUAAUUUUGUUGCUUUUUGAAACUGAAAAACAAAACUGAAGAGAAAAUAUCCCAAAAAGUGCCAGUGAAAGGGCUGCCGCCAUCCUUGUAUGAAACUCUGCUGUUUAGCUGUGAAUGCGCAAUGUUUUUCAAUAUAGGAUAUUUUAUCUGAAAAUAGAACUAUUUAUCAUUCAUAUUAAAGCAAUAGCGCAUUAAUGGUGAUGUGUGUGUUGAUGAACAAAUGGAUGAGCAUAUUAUGGGUACAUGUUAGAAUCACAUGUGGUGGAAUUUUGUACUUUAUUACAAAAAAGUACUACUAAUAAUAAUGAUUUCAAACGUUGCAUUGCUAAACCCAAACUGUUCAGUUUUUUAAUUUUAAUUUUAUU
ensembl:lncRNA